AUGUCUUCUCUUUCAGAAUAUGCCCUGCGCAUGUCUCGUCUCAGUGCUCAGCUAUUUGGUGAAGUCGCCAGGCCGACUGAUUCCAAGUCUAUGAAAAUGGUGACACUGUUUAGUGAACCACCCUUGGCCAAGAAGAAGGAGACUUAUGACUGGGUAUCCAGAUGACAACACUUACUCCACACUCAUGGGAACACUCUGGUUUCUUGGAUUCUGCAGAGAUGAGCAUCAGGAUUUUAAGGAUGAGCAAAGAUGACAAAAGAAGCUUCGUGGAAAGGGGAAACCAAAGAAAGGAGAGGGGAAAAGAGCAGCAUAAAAGAAAUAG
rnacentral:lncRNA from 1 species